rnacentral:lncRNA from 1 species
CUUGUUAGCAGAUGAGUAUCGGAUCUGCAGUGUAUAGAUACUGGGAUAAGGGUGUGGGUGGUUAUUAGAGAACAACUUGCACUGAACGUGACUAACACGAGAAACCACUUGGAUAUCUACUCACUCGUCAGUAGUCUUCUCGAUGCUGCUGUGGUGUGUGGUCCUUUGACCCGCGGUGUCAUCGACUAUUCACAGCAAGGCUACUGGAUUUAACUGCAUAUUUCUUUGGUCCCUAGCCAUUUGGAUCCUUGCGGUGUAUGUUGGCUACAGUAGGUUUAAGUUCGAUGUUUGAAGUAGAAUGCACUUAGAUGGAAUUUAUCGAUCUUGAUAGAAAAGGAGAUCCUAUGUGAUUUGCGAGACAGUUCAGAAAGUCUUUGGCUAAAGCAAGUGUGAAUACUGAAAAAGAGUUUCCAUUAGAUUCACAAAUGAACUCGAAUCCAAUCAAUCUUGCAUAUGACUGACGAUGGGGUCUGAUGAGUUCUUCAUAACCUCCGUCAAGUUGGAACUCACGAUAGAAAGACUGAAUCAUACGAUAACUACACCUAGAGGUUCACAUUUUUAUUUUACUGGGUUGCCACUACAUACUGCUAGGUGUCAUAGGUGGAUUGUGGGACUCAUCGGGCAUCAUCUUGAUGAUCGAUGACCCUCGAAGGGUAGCAUUGGAAUUGUUCCAACCCAUCAAGAAGAGUUUCGAUAAUAUUGUGAUGGAGAUCACAAUAUAUCUCACUACUAGAUGGAAUAGAACCUAUGGGCUCACACAUUAAGGGAUUUAAUCUUGAAUUUACC